GCCUUCGUGGUGUAGUGGUCAGCACGCUGGACGCGUAACCGAGAGGUCCGUGGUUCGAUUCCCGGGGAAGGCC
rnacentral:tRNA from 1 species